rnacentral:lncRNA from 1 species
AUCUGAUCUGACAAAUGUUUUAAAUGUUACACUCAUGAACUUAUCACCCAUCAACUUUGUCUUGCUCCCUAUGCUUAAGGAUAGAGAAGAAUAAAUAUACUUUUGGUUAUGUUGGUGUUUUCCACCAACAGGACCCAUGCACUUGAUCUCUGCCUUGUCUCUAUGAGCAGGACACAUUUUGAGAAACAUGGAGGAUUUUUCAACUCCCAGACUCUACCAAGUGAAGGACCUGGAUCUACGAGCACAAACACA